ensembl:lncRNA
CAGAACUUGAUACCAGCAUCAUAAAAUAAUCAGAAGUAGGAACUGCUGCUUUAAUCUUACCCUGAGCACUGCUACAAAUGCUCAAGUAAGGACAAUGUAUUUUUGGAAAGGAAACUUAUUAAACUUAGUUAGAGAUAGACAAGGAUCUAUUUUCCCAAGACACAUCAGGCUAUUACUCCUGUUGCCUGCUGUGGUCAAACAAUCGAUUUGCAACACCCUGUUUUUACUGGAGUGGCUUGUGGUAACCAAGGACAAAACAUGAUACUGAAUAAUACGACAUCCAAGUAAAAUGUGCUACGAAAUAAUAGUGAGUCCCACAGUUAGUUGUGUGUUCUUACCCUACUCUUUAUAUGUAUACUUUUAUUUUUCCUCUCCCAAAUGAAUAAUGAAUGGGAUUCACACGGAGCCUUGACAUGUGGGUUUAAUACUGUGGACAGUGGGAGUCAUCAACCUACUCAUGUGUCCUUCCCAGUUCUUGCACAGCUCAGUCUGUUGACUGGAGAGGCACAGUGAGAAACAAUGAAGGACUUCAUGCCAUGCAAACACUGCUCACCCUCAACUAAAACACUGCUGUGUUAUCAGCGUUGGCCUGGCCACAGAUCUAACGCACUGCACCACAUGGGCUGCUGUGAAGACCAUGGACUCCCUCCCAGCUAAUCCCAGUGCACUCCAUCACCUCCAACUCUUCCACCACUCGCUGCAGGAGUGCUGGAGGAAGAAGGGAGGAAUAGGUGGGUUUUGUUUGCUUUAGCUUCUGUUUCUACAGAGAGGGUUUGGCAGAUUCUUGCCGGUGCUCUCCGUUGUGCUGUAGUUGUUCUGUCACCACAGCUAAAUAGAGCAUGCCUCUCAUGUGAGCAGUCUCCAGAGAACGAGCCAGAGACAUGCGACUGUUAAGCAAGCGUGCUGUCUCAGCGACGCAGGAAGUCUUGGCAUGGCUGUCCGGGAAGCUGAGUGGUCAGAAGAGUGGUCAGAAGCACAGCACGCAGCAGAAGCGCUAGCGAUGGUGGUGCCGUGAUGUCUGUGUGUGGAGCAGAGGCCUGGCCAGCACUAUGUUGACGCUGGCCUUGCACAGGCUUUUUCUUGAAACAGCUGCACCGAGCCAUUCCCCAGAAGCUACUCUGUGAAACUGGGAUCUGUGAGAGGGGUUGCAAAGCACCCAAGACCAUCAGCGGGACAGGAGAUGAGAUGUAGCCAGUAGGCCGAGGGAGCUUCUUGUCCCCUUCUGCUCCUCUUGUGUCAGACCUCACCUACGGCACUGUUUUCAGCCCUGGGACCCCAGCACGAGGAAGGAUGUGGAACUGUUUGAAGGGAGUCCAGAGAAGGCCGGGAAGGUGGUCAGAUGGCUGGAGCACCUCUGCUGUGCAGAAAGUCGGAGAGAGCUGGGGUUAUUUAGCUUAGAGGAGGGAAGGCUCUGGCCUUCUCCUUGUGGCCUUCCAGGAGCUACUGGAAAGAUGGAGAGGGACUCAUUAUCGGAGUGUAGCG